rnacentral:lncRNA from 1 species
AUCGGUGCACAACAUUCAAUAAUCAAAUAUAUAGAUCAUGCCAAGUAUUUCUACUCUAUUGUGCUAACUUGAUAUUCUAAUGAACAAUCAGUCUCUCAAUUCAAUCAUUCAUCAUAAAUCAAUAAAUAGGUGAUCAAUAUAUUUAUGCAUGAAGCUGCAAGCUAACAUAUAGGGAUUAAGAAAAAGGACUUUCAUAGAUUAAAUAAAGAAAUCACAAAAUAUCUGUAACACCCAAAACUUUUUAUUUUAUUAUUAUUGGAAUUUUGUUUGAUCUUAUUUUAUUUUAAUGAUUAACUUAU